UGACUUUGGUCAGUUGUCUACAUGUACCUGC
rnacentral:piRNA from 1 species